AGCGAGGAAACCAAUACAAACGGAUUUUGAUAAACUUCAAAAAAUACUCAUGCUCCGGAGCUGAACAAAAACAUACACAUAUACCAUUGAUGCCUUUAGUAUUUUAGGUAACUCCAAAUGGAACUCACAAAGCAUGCAUAUUAAUGUGGACCGCAGCUGACCCUGCAAUCAAUCGGUAGCUGAGAAAUGAUCAUAUAAGAAAUGAUAGAUAACUGGCGAUUAUAUAACAUCUAACGACACACGGCUAUAAUGAACAAAACGAAGCAACAACACAAACUUUACUAACAACAGAGCAAUCUAUUUUGGAACAGACGUUCACCCGAAUCACAUGACGGCCGCCACACUUUGUCCGGUCCUUGGUGGCCUGCAAAUUAAAGUUGGAAGAUACCUUCAAGCCAAAGAAGAUCGGAAUUCAUAAAAUAGGCUCUCGAAGAAAUUAACCGAGAAAAUAUACGAACGAGACAAUACAGAGCGAGCGAAAGUUUACGGUGCCGAUUCGGGUGGCACAAACUGACAGCCUAUAGAAUGACAUCCUCUUGGCAGGCAAAAGAGAGAGGGACAGCUGCGCACCAUGGACCAAAAAACACCCUUCCAAUACCCUGCAAUUCUGAGUUAUCUCAUUGUACAAAAAUGUUCAAAAGCAGAUGUAAAAUCUCUAAUAUCCAUAAAGACCACACAAACAAUGGUGCAUCAUAACAUAAUUAAGUAAUGAAAUAAAUACAUGAAAGUAAAAUAUGAGAGAAAUUAACAUCUGAUUGAGAUAAUAGCAAAAAUUAAACUGUAGAGAUGAAAAUUGAGAUAAUACACUCAGGACGCAUAAUUGAAAACUAACCCACCACGAUGAAGCCCUCCUUCCAUGAUGCUCGACUGCUCCCGGUGGAUAAGUAGGACAAAAAAUAUUAAUAAUCAAGAAAAAGUCGAACUUGAAGGAGAGGCAUAGGGCAAUUGUAUCCGGCAGCGAACUGAACUCCACACAUGAGGAGGAAUAGGGCGAGGUCAACGUCUUCAGUUGAAGGUCAACAGUAGCAGGGUGAAACUCCGAAAAUAAAGAACCGAAAUAUCAGUGGGUGGAGAAAAGGAGGGGGAUGGCGGAGCGGCGGUCAUUGCGGCGGUAGAAGGAAGAGAGGAGAAAGGGGAAAAAAUCGAAAUUAAAAGAAAAGGAGAAAGAUAUAGCAGGCAGGUUGAUUUAAUCUUCGAGCAGGC
rnacentral:lncRNA from 1 species